ACAUAUCUUUGUAUAUCUACACACACACAAACAUACUAUGUUAAAGCGCUGAAUAGUGACCUACACAUAUUCAGCAUCGAAUCAAUAUUUCUCCUGUCAGUUUUUUUCCACUGUCCACUUCUCUCUCUACAACUUCCUUCACCCAAUAAUACCCCAAUCAGCCAGUAGUUUCACAGUUCCUCUCUUGACAUCAGGAGUGUAUUCUGUCUAUUGCCAAGACUCUUGUCUCUGAAGUAUUCCUCUCCAUCAAACUAUAAUUAGGUACUCUAAUGAAUAAAGUAGUGUUAAAUUUGGAUAUCUCUUUGGGUACAACUCAGAAAUGAAUGAACACCACAUAAGAUGAUUUGCUUUAAUAAAUCUUCUUCUUUGUAACCCCUUCAAGUCUGAGAAUGAUAUUUCUGCAAGUUCUUGCUGAACAACCUGUACAGAUAAUUUGUUUAUAUUGCUAAAAUGUUUUUGUUGUGCAUUUGCUCACUCCCUCCAUCAAAUCAACAUCGCUUGUACAGGUGCACAGUGUGUUACAUGUCUGGUAUCAAAGUGAUCGCAGAACCAUGUGAAAUUAAAUACUUUGUUCAAGAAUGCAAUGCACUAUCUAAUUUGGGAAUCAAAACCAUUUUGAUAAAUAAGUUAUGCACAAAGACAAGAGCUUUUAAUAGUGAACCCCCUUGUCCCAUGAUUGCUCCUGUGAAUUACACUACAUUAUUGUAAUUCACAUGGCAAUACAAUACAUUGAAAUACACUUAUAUAUAAUCAACAAAAAGGUUGAAAGAGAUCAAUUGUUUUCUCCAUGAGCAGGAAUCAGUAUUUUAACAAAUAAAAAUAAAAGUGUGUUAUGUAGGGCACAGGCCCAGUUGAAUCACUAAGAAGUUCCUUUAGCAAUCAUGAGCCACUAAGGUUUGAUCCUAUUGGGUCUGGCUUGGGCAAAUAUCUUCUACCAUAGCCUCAGAUCAGCCCAAGAUUUCUAGGUGAAAUUUCGUAGACAGAAUAUGUGUAGAAGACCUGCAGAAGGACUGUUUCUGUUAGUCACCAGACAUGCCUAUACUACACUGAGUCUACUUCAGGGUUACAUGUAGGAUACAUGGAUCUGUGGAAUGCUCAGUUUCUUGCACUGUAAUACAAGGUGAACUAGCCUGCAAUUCAGAUGUCCAGCAUUGUCACAACACUGAGUCUGUCUGAGGAUUAUGAAUGGUUUAUUUCAUUGAAUGAAAAACUGGAACUCUUGUUGAAACCAACACAGAAUUGAUUUACUUUUAUAUAUACUAAGAAGAUACAUCUAAUUCAAUGUGUUAAAUCAUUUAUACUUUCACUAGUUUUAAAAGUAUUUAAGCAUGGCCUGGGUUAUAUCAUGAAAGCAAGCUUAGUUGAUAAUUGAAACAAGUAGUGUAUGUUCAUUAUCCUUGCUUGGUUUAUUCAGACUUUUACGCAGUCUUCCCAACUUCACAGCUCUCUGAGUUUGUGGCUUUUUUUUUUAACUUUUGGGUUUUCUGAUUUUUUUUUUGUAUUUUUUCUGGAAAUAAUUCCUUUUAACAUAAACAAUAAACACACAGGUUUAAAAACUAAUUUCAAAUAUAUUUAAAAAUUGCCCACCAAAGAAAAGUGUUGACCUGCAUGUUUAUUGUUUAUAUUACAAACCUCAGUUGGUGCCUCUUCCUCUUACAAUCAUCCCCUAUGCAUUCUGUCUUUCUCUCUGUUAAUAUGAAAUUGUAAGUUCUGAAAGUUCAUGACUGAGUAUAUGUGUGUGUGUAUAUAUAUAUAUACAUAUGUAUAUUAGAAAGUUAGAAGUUAUGGCCAGUCAUUGGUUUUGCAUCUAUAAAGCACUUAGCAGUAUAAGGAACUUGUCAGACUUAAAUGGCUGAAGGUGCAUAACCUCAUGCAUCUUCAGCCUUAUGAGUCUGAUGAGUCUCCUAUGCUGCUAAACACUUUCUAGGUGUGAAACCAAUGAUCAUUCUAUGACCAGCCAUAACUUCUUCCUAAGAAAUAUAUCACUGCUCUAAUACUUUAGACUGUUCUUUUUUGGAUAUAUGGACUACUGACAAGAUAUAUUAAUAUAUUAAAAAAAACUAUAAUAAAUGCACAGACAAAUGGAAAAUAGACACAGAAGGUCACCAAAUCCUCAUCAGUUAUUGGCCAGAGGGUCAAAUGCAAUUUCACGCCUUCAAUGAUAAUAUUGCUACCCUCUGGUGGUGCCAGUAGCUGGUUGUUGGGGACAGCAGAAUUGGUGCAACCGUUAGAGAGACAUCCUGGCUGUUUUCACUGGUAUCAAAGGGUUCAAAAUCCCACUGGUAUUAAUCAAACAGUACUCAAUUAUAUAACGAAGACAACGAGUACCUUGCUUUUCCAAUUUUCCCAGUCUUCUCCCAAUAUUGAUCAUGCUGUUUGAGAACACACAGGUGUGUGACAUACACUGCACACCUAAUUAGACCUCUUAGGUAAGUGUUAAAAUAUGUCUGUGUGUGUGUGUAUAUACUUUAUUUGUAGAUUAACAAUGUUACUAAUGGUUUCAUGUUAGGUGCUUGCAAUUUUUAAAACAUUCCCUUCAAAAAUUUUAGAAAUUCACUUCCAUGUUAAGUGACAUGGAAAUGGAUUACCAGCAUUCUUAAGUGGAACUCUUGAAAAAUUGUGAACCUCCCACAUGAAAGCAUUGGUAUCUAUCAUUGUUAAUCCACAAGAGUAUGUGACAGGAAGAGCAUCCAGCUGUAAAACUAUUAUACAUGUAAACCAUGCUAGCCUGGAACAAUAGACAGAAAAACAAAUGACAUCUAAUUAUAUAUGUGUGUGUAUUUGUGUACAUAUAUAUAUAUAUAU
rnacentral:lncRNA from 1 species